AAGAGGUCCAGCCUGCCCAGUGACUAAUGUUCAACGGCCGCGGUAUCCUAACCGUGCGAAGGUAGCGUAAUCACUUGUUCUUUAAAUGAGGACUAGUAUGAAUGGCACCACGAGGGUUAUACUGUCUCCUUUCUCUAAUCAGUGAAACUAAUUUCCCCGUGAAGAAGCGAGGAUAUAACUAUAAGACGAGAAGACCCUAUGGAGCUUUAAAUUUCUCUUCAAACGCCAGACCCCCUCAACAGUCAUAGACUAACUACAUCUACAUCAGCGCUAUGAAGACGACUUUUAGGUUGGGGUGACCGCGGAGUACAAAAAAACCUCCACGCUGAAUCAGACUCUAAACCUUGAGCAAAGGGCCACAACCCAAAGCACUAAAAAAUUAACAUCAAUUGACCCA
rnacentral:rRNA from 1 species